rnacentral:rRNA from 1 species
UACAGGGGGUGCAAACGUUGCUCGGAAUCAUUGGGCGUAAAGCGCACGUAGGCGGUCUGUUAUGUCGGAUGUGAAAGCCCUUGGCUUAACUGAGGAAGUGCAUCCGAAACUGGCAGGCUAGAGUACUAAAGAGGGUCGCGGAAUUCCCGGUGUAGAGGUGAAAUUCGUAGAUAUCAGGAGGAACACCGGUGGCGAAGGCGGCCAGCCUGGAC